rnacentral:rRNA from 1 species
CACCAGCCCCUCGAGUGGUGGGGAUGAUUAUUUGGCCUAAAGCGUCCGUAGCCGGCCGGGUAAGUUUCCCGUUAAAUCCAGCGUCUCAAGCGUUGGACUGCGGGAAAUACUGCCUGGCUAGAGAGUGGGAGAGGUCAGCGGUAUUCUGGGGGUAGGGGCGAAAUCCUUUGAUCCCCGGAGGACCACCAGUGGCGAAGGCUGCUGACUAGAACACGUCUGACGGUCAGGGACGAAAGCUGGGGUAGCGAACCGGAUUAAAUACCCGGGUAGUCCCAGCCGUAAACGAUGCAUGCUAGGUGUUGGGUUGGCCACGAGCCACCCCAGUGCCGCAGGGAAGCCGUUAAGCAUGCCGCCUGGGAAGUACGAUCGCAAGAUUGAAACUUAAAGGAAUUGGCGGGGAGCACCACCAGGCGUGAAGCCUGCGGUUU